AAAACAAGUCCACCGUGGGCUUUGAAAAACGCUUUCCUUGAUAAAAUUUAAGCGUUUUAUAAGAGGAUGCCGGGGAAGGUUUUCCGGUUUAUCCCGGAGGGCUUGUAGCUCAGUUGGUUAGAGCGCGCGCUUGAUAAGCGUGAGGUCGGAGGUUCAAGUCCUCCCAGGCCCACCAGUUUAUCCAUUACUUUCAUAAGUGCUUUUAAAAAAUAAGUACUUCUAAAAAGAUUGCUUCUAAAAAGCUUAUCAAAAUUGGCAGGCUUAUUGCUUUUGUGUGAGUAAUCCAAAGUUAAAGCAAAUUAAUGGCAAAAAAACAGUUCAAAUGCUAAAUACUAAGGAGUCAAAAUUCCUUGCAAAGUGAUUUUUACAGCGUCCAUUUGGUUGAUAUAAAUUCCAAAUGCUCAUAGACGUCAAUGCCUAUAUGAAACUAUCGGUUCAAUCAUAUCGCUUUGAGUUAUAUAGAUUUUGUAAUCCCUCUUUUGAUCGUUUUAAACGCUUUAUUCUGAUUUAGGGGCCGUAGCUCAACUGGGAGAGCACCUGCUUUGCAAGCA
rnacentral:misc_RNA from 1 species